AAAAAGACCCGAAAAUGAAGAAAGAUAACCGCAAUGUCGGAGACUCAUAACACGGGAAGGGUGCUGAACCCAUGGGCUCUUCUUCUUCUUCAAAAACUUGGCCACUCAAGUGCGCCAGUUGGUAUUUCCUCCAUGACUCCUUUAUUUUUUCGUAUGAUGUAUGAAUUACUUAUAAGCAUAUUAAAUGUUUUGAAUGUUGACCUUGUAGUCUGCACUUGCUAAAUAAACCCAUGUUGCUCUUCUGCAAUCACGUCGUCUGCAAGUAAGUACUUAUUGCGUUUUUGUGUGUGCAUUUAGUUGCUUCUUUUUUUUUCUUUUUUGGGUUUUUUCGUCCUUUGUGUGAUUCAUGUUCCUUUUUUGCUGUUGUUUGAAGUUUCAUAUUUACAUUCCAAAAUCGAAACAAUUAGGUACAUAAUCAGUUUGUUGAUAGAGUACUUUAACAUAUUCUUUGUUAGAUUUUUAUAGCACGGAACAGAAAUAUCUUUGGCUAAUAUUUUUUUCAUUAUUCUUUCCUUUUCAUCCUAAUUCAAGUUCUUUAGAAAUUUGUUAGAAAUAGAUACAAGCCAAAUUUUAGAAACUCUAUGACCCCAAAAUCUGAGUGGAUGUUUCUGUUGGAAUAAUUAAUUAUUUCAUAUGUGGGCUUCACGUUAGAUUGUAAAUUUUACGGGUUAGAUAUAUGACUCAUAAUGAUAUUUGUGUUUGAGCCAAAUUUAUUAAGUGAUCAAUUGGGCCUUUUACACCUUACGGAUUGUAAUUAAUUUUAUGUGGUAGUUCAAAGUAUGUGGACCGGAAAUAAACUCUAAUUAGAAUUCUAGUCGUAAUGGGACGACUCAAAUUAUUUCCUAUAUAUAAAGGUUAGGUUCCCUCUCCUCUCCAUAUGUUUAUUGGCUUGCCCCAUUGAUAGCUGAUUUUUGUGAGGAGUAAGGAGGGGAAGAUUUUGGCUACUAUUACAACUACUAUUCAUAUCAACAAUGGUUUCCGCACGUAUGAAUUCGUUUCUAUUAAUUUAUUGAAUUGUGAUUAUCGAUUCUUAACAUGAUUAAAACUAAGGAUUAACAAUUGGUAUCAGAGCCUACAUGUUAAGAUCGAAAUCCUUAAUGAAAUUCCUUUUCCUAUAUCCGUGAUCUGUGCAUAUAUUUAUAAUAUGAAUUAUUAUUAACAUGGCCCAACACCAAAUCCCAAAAUUAGAAUCUGUAAAAUCUGUGCAUAUAUUUAAAAUACGAAAUCACGUGAUUGAGUAACCCGGAACAAUACGAAUUCAGUUGACAGAAAUAUGAGAAUGUGUAGAAUCAGUACACGCUUCCAUUAUCCUCGAAUUGAGAUAGUUUGUAUUUCAAGAAAAGUAUGUUCCAUGUGUUGCUGAUAAAUAUUUUGAAUUUGUCAUCUGGGUCAUCUUAUUCUAGAGAUUCUUAAGGGGUUUAAUCAACAUGCGCUGAUACUAUUUUAAUAAUUUCGAGUCUUCAUGUUGUGGUUCUGAAAAAGAUAAGGGCUUGCAAAGAACCUUUUGUUGUACUGUGUAAUAGAAUUCGAAUAUGGUCACUUAUGCUUCAUGAUAGUCAUCUUAAUGUCGUGAAACUAUAUUCAGUUAUGUUUUAUGAAUACGCUAUUAACGAUGGCUUUGCAUUAAUUGAUGGAGAUUUCUAACACUAUUUUGAUUGUACUGUCUUUAUUGAUUGCCUUUUUUGAAAAGAAUAUUUGUGGGUUUUUGUCUAUGGUGAUUAUCAUGAAAGAAGAGAGAAAAAAAUCAGUUUCUGUGGGAAACCGGCCAAAGGUAGGCGGGGGCUUUUGCCGUAAAUAAUCAAUCUUUAAACCCCUGUUUGCAAUUAUCGGUUGGGGGUCGUAUUGUAAUUACUUAAAUACGGACCUGCCAUGCAAUUUUUAAUAUGAAGGACCUGAUCUUAAUUUGUGUUUAGUAUUAAAAUGUAAUUUUCAAUAAGGGGCUCUUAAAUUUGAAUUUCUAAACUUUUGACCCUAAAUUUUAUUUUUGACCAAAUUAAAACUUUAAUUGAUAAUUGGCCUGAUUAAAAUAUAUUAGAUAAUAAUAAUAAUAAUUUAAUUGACGACUUUUGUAUUAUUUCAUUAAAAUGUUAUGUAUUGUCAUUAUUUAUGCAUUAAAUUUUGUUGUCAAUUUCGUCUUUUAAUAUUAAUCACGUAUGGAUUUCUUGUCUUUUGUCAAUUAAUGAUUAUGAUUUAUUGCAUAAUUAUUAUUCCGCGACUGAAUUUUUCAUGGGAUUUAAGACGAUUCUUAUUUUCCCAAUGAGAGAGAAAUAUUUUGAAAUAAAAAUGGGUGGUAUCUGCCAAAGUGGCACACUCCGGUUUUCUCUACAAUAAAAUUAUGUAUAUAUAUUUUUGUGCAACAAUUCUGAUUUAUUGCAUAUAAUAUCUUUCCCAAAGGUGUUAUUAUAUGUGAUAUUUUUUUUUUUUUGGAAAAUGGCAUAAGAUAGUAACGAGCUUAUUUUGGUUCAGAAAUUUUCUUCUGCCCAAAGGUGUUGGAAUUUCGAAAACCAAUGUGAUUUUACUAACUAGCUACAUGAUGUGUUUUAAGAGUACUUUAUAGCAUGUUGUAUUGUCGACCCAAAUGUGACUUUAUGAUGAUGCACCUAGGCUCUUACCAUAAUAAAAUUUAUAUGUUUCGAUUUAAAUUACGGAUUAUCUAACUAAUAGCCCAUAUUAAUUAGUUGGAUAUUUCAUCAUCCAUUUGAUUGCAUGUAUUAAGUUUGGAUGAUAUUAAGAGUGAUAUUUUAUGUUUCCACAGUUUAUAAUGCCUCAUCUCUUUCGAAUCAAUUGUCUGCUAUUGAAACUUUGACUGGGAAUAACUGUGUGAGAUGGAAACGAGACGUAGAAAUAGCACUUAGUCUUUUGGGCUUGGAUUUUGUAAUGGAGAAAAAGUUUGAAAAACCUACAAAUAAGAGUACCGUUGAAUAUGUAGCCGAGCAUGAAAAGUGGGAAAGGGCUAACAAACUCUGUUUGAAAAUCAUUAAGCGAUCGAUAUCUGAUUCCAUCCUAGGUGCCAUCCCUGAUAAUGAAAAUAUCAAAAGUUUUAUGGAUGCCAUAGGAGAAAAAUUUGUUGAGUCUGAUAAAGCCGAAACUGGGGAUCUGAUGGAUAAAUUGAUGAGCAUGAGAUAUGAUGGCAUAAAUGGUGUUAGGGAGCAUGUCAUGAAAAUGAUAAAUAUAUCAUCUAAGUCAAAGGCUCUUGACAUUCCCAUUGCGGAGCCUUUCCUAGUCUAUCAUGUUUUGAAUAGCCUUCCUAGUAAGUUUAAUCAGUUUAAGGUUACUUACAAUGCUCAGUGGGAUAAAUGGAAUUUGAAUGACCUCAUAGCAGUGUGUGCCCAAGAAGAGUAUAGGAUGCACCGUGAAAAUGUUGAAACUGUACAAUUAGCUUUUCAACCAUCAUAGAAUAAGGGGCCUUCUCAUAAUCAUAAACCUAAGUUUCGUAAGGGUAAUAAGUCCCAUCGAAGUCAGCAGAAUAAAAAUUUUAGUGGUCCCAAAGUAGUUAUAAAGAAAAAUGAUCAAUGCAAGUUCUGUAAAAAGAAAUGUCACUGGUAGAAGGACUGUUUUAAGUUCAAGACUUGGUUGGAAAAGAAGAAGAGUUCUUCAGGUAUUCCCUUGGCCUUAGUUUGUUUUGAGUCUUCUUUAGUAGAUGUGCCUUUGAAUUCUUGGUGGUUAGACUCGGGAGCUAGUUUUCAUAUUGCGAAUUCCUUGCAGGGGUUCAUAAGCAAACGGAGGCCAAGGGAGAAUGAAGUAAGCUUGAGCGUUGCAAAUGGAUUCCAACUGAAGGUUGAAUUCAUAGGAGUAGUGAAGUUAACUUUAGAGUUUGGUUUUUAUAAAAAGAAAGGUCACUGGUAGAAAGACUAUUUUAAGUUCAAGACUUGGUUGGAAAAGAAGAAGAGUUCUUCAGGUAUUCCCUUGGCCUUAGUUUGUUUUGAGUCUUCUUUAGUAGAUGUGCCUUUGAAUUCUUGGUGGUUAGACUCGGGAGCUAGUAUUCAUAUUACGAAUUCCUUACAGGGGUUCAUAAGCAAACGGAGGCCAAGUGAGAAUGAAGUAAGCUUGAGCGUUGCAAAUGGAUUCCAAGUGAAGGUUGAAUUCAUAGGAGUAGUGAAAUUAACUUUAGAGUCUGGUUUUUAUCUUGUUUUGAAAAAUACAGUUUAUGUACCGCAGAUGAGACGGAAUUUAAUUCCUAUACCAAAACUUGAUGCUUGUGGUUUUACAUUUAAUUUUGGUAAUGGAAUGGUUAAGUUAUUUAAUGAUUCCCGUUUGAUUGGAAAUGACAUUUUAUGUGAUGGUUUAUAUAAAUUAUCUUUGGCUUCUUUUGGUGAUAUCUCGUGUGUUACAAAUGUAUCAAAGAAAAGGGCUUUAAUUCGUGAAUCAUCCUCUAUGUUGUGGCAUAAGCGAUUGGGUCGUAUUUCUAAAGAUAUAAUGGAAAGAUUAGUAAAAGAUGAGAUACUUCCUUCCUUAGACUUCUCCGAUUUUGACACCUGUAUAGAUUGUAUAAGAGGAAAGUUAACUAAGUCUACGAGGAAGGGUUCGACUAGGAGUAAUGGAAUUUUGGACUUAAUUCACAUUGAUAUCAGUGGAUCUUUGCUUUCCAUUAUAUGUGGGAAUAAAUAUUUCAUAACUUUCAUUGAUAAUUUCUUACGAUAUGGAUAUGUUUAUUUGAUUAACGACAAAUCACAUGCACUCGAGAAAUUCAAAGUUUUCAAACUGGAAGUAGAGAAACAAUGUGGGAAAAGUAUCGAAGUUGUAAGAUCUGACCGAGGUGGUGAGUACUAUGGAAAAUAUGACGAGUCUGGUCAAAAUAUGGGUGAUUUUGCAAAAUUUUUACAAGAGUGUGGAAUAGUGUCCCAAUACACCAUGCCAGGAACACCUUAGCGGAAUGGUGUUUCUGAAAAACGUAAUCGAACUGUAAAAGAUAUGGUUAGAAGUAUGAUAAGUAGAACAAAUUUGCCUGAAUAUUUGUGGGGUGAAGCCUUGAAAACAGCUAUGUAUAUUUUGAACAGAAUUCCAAGUAAAGCUGUUGCAAAGACACCUUUUGAAUUAUGGACAGGACGUAAGCCAAGUAUGGCUCACUUUAAAGUUUGGGGAUGUCCAGCUGAGGUUAGGAUUUAUAAUCCAUUUGAAAAGAAAUUAGACUCUAAAUCAGCUUCUGGCUACUUUAUUGGGUAUCCGGAUAGAUCAAAGGGAUAUAAGUUUUACUAUUCAAAUCGCAGCACUAGAAUUGUGGAGUCCAUUACUGCUAAAUUUCUGGAGAACGAUUUUGGAGAUAGUGGGAGUUUCACGUUGAGAGAAAUUCUUGUUGAACCUAAUCAAGUUGUAGUUCUAGUUCCUGUCAUACAGGAAAGAGUUGGUUCUCAACCAAUUGAAGUUGUUAAUGAAGAACAGAGGAACCAGGAAGAAUCUCCAAUUCCUCAAACAACGAUUGAAUCGGUUCCCGAGUCACAAUUUAGGAGAUCACAAAGGGAAAGAAGAUCUGCAUUGCCCAGUGAUUAUGUUACAUAUUCAUUGGAGAGCGAUUUUAAUAUUGGGCAUAUUGUUGAUCCUGUAACUUAUAAUCAAGCAUUGACAAGUCCUGAGGCAGAUAAAUGGAUAGCUGCCAUGGAAGAUGAAACGAAUUCCAUGGAAAGGAAUAAAGUUUGGGAUCUUGUUGAACUUCCUCCAGACGCUAAGGUUGUAGAUAACAAGUGGAUCUUCAAAAGUAAAUUAGAUUCAAAAGGAAAUGUUGAACGAAAGAAAGCAAGAUUGGUUGCAAAAGGUUUUACUCAACGAGAGGACAUUAAUUAUGUUGAAACCUUCUCCCCUGUUUCGUCGAAAGAUUCUUUUCGAAUUAUUAUGGCUCUUGUGGCACACUACAAUUUGGAGUUUCAUCAAAUGGAUGUUAACACAGCAUUUUUGAAUGGAGAUCUUUCUGAAAUGGUUUAUAUGAAACAACCUGAAGGUUUUGUUGUAAAAGGAAAAGAAAACUUGGUGUGUAAGUUAAACAAAUCCUUAUAUGGUCUCAAGCAAGUAUCUUGACAGUGGUAUUUGAAGUUUGAUGAGAUUGUGACAUCUCUUGGUUUUGUCGAAAAUAUUAUUGAUCAAUGCAUUUAUCUUAAAAUCAGUGGGAGAAAUUUUAUUUUCCUUGUACUGUAUGUUGAUGACAUUCUGCUUACUAGCAAUAACUUAGAACUGCUUCAUGAGACAAAGAAAAUGUUGUCUUCUAAUUUUGAGAUGAAAGAUCUUGGAGAAACUUCCUAUGUACUUGGCAUUGAAAUACAUCGUGAUAGAAAUCGUGGCUUAUUGGGACUUUCUCAGAAAGUUUAUAUACGACGUGUUCUAGAAAGGUUUAAUAUGCAGAAUUGUGCACCUGGUGAUGUACCUAUCAUCAAAGGAGAUAAGUUUAACAAAACUCAAUGUCUAAGGAAUGAGCUGGAAAGGGAGUCUAUGAAGAUGAUCCCAUAUGCUAGUGCUGUGGGGAGCUUGAUGUAUGUUCAAGUUUGCACUAGAUCGGAUAUAGCAUACACAGUAAGUGUCCUUAGCAGAUUUCAGUCUAAUCCAGGACAAGAGCAUUGGAAAGCAGCUAAGAAAGUUAUGAGAUAUUUGAAGAAAACUGAAGGUUAUAUGCUUACAUUCCAACAUACAAAUCAUCUUGAGGUAGUAGGAUAUUCAGAUUCAGAUUUUGUUGGAUGUCAAGAUGAUUUGAAAUCAACCUCAGGUUACAUUUUUACAUUAGCUGGUGGUGCCAUUUCUUGGAAAAGUGCUAAACAGACUCUAGUGGCAUUUUCUACUAUGCAAGCUGAAUUUGUGGCAUGUUAUGGGGCUACAGUCCAAGCCGUUUAGUUAAAAAAUUUCAUCUCUGGCUUGAAAGUUGUUAAUUUCAUCUCAAGACCGAUCACCAUCUACUGUGAUAACAGUGCAGCAGUAUUCUUUUCAAAGAAUAAUAAAAAUUUUGGUGGAUCAAAACAUAUUGACAUCAAAUAUUUGGUUGUUAGAGACGGAGUCAAAGAAGGGCAGAUGAAAAUAGAGCAUAUCAAUACAGAGGCGAUGGUUGCAGAUCCCUUGAAUAAGGGACUCGCUCCAAAAGUCUUUAAGACACAUGUUACUAAUAUGGGUAUUGUGGAAACAUUUGAUAUUUUUGGUUAGUGAGAUUUAUUUAUGUAAAGAACUACGUUUUGGGCUUGAUCCCUUGCGGGGUACGUAGGCAACCCAUAUUUUUUGGGUACAGCCCCUUCUGAUAAUAAAAUAAUUUUUUUCCUAUCCAUGAACUAUUUUAAGCAUGCAUUUGACUUAUAUCUUUUUAUAUUAUUGGUAUCUUGAAAUAUGACGUAUAAAGACAUAAGAUGAGUCUCUUUUUAGAGACAUGUGCCUUCAUUUUUAUUCGAAGCAUUAUGAGGACCGAUAUGAGUUAGCACAGUUUUUUAUCACAUUUGGUGCUAAGUUCAUACCACAUACUACCACAUUGGUUGGAGGAUGGGGAUCCAUGUUGAUAAGGAUGUUGACAUCUGUAGCUGUGGAAUGGUCUUACAUCUCUUAAAUUGGUGUAAUGACUUCCAUGUUAGGUUUUAAUAUUCUUGUUGGACCGGAUCAUGUUACGUAAGGUGUCAUCAUUGAAGCUAUACUUUUGUGGCCACCUAUGUAGUCUAACCCGGGUGUUAAAACUUUGUUAUGGCAAUCAAAUGUUUGCCCAAGUGGUAGAAUGUUGGAAUAAUUAAUUAUUUCAUAUGUGGGUUUUACAUUGGAUUGCAAAUUUUACGGGUUAGAUGUAUGACUCAUAAUGAUAUUUGUGUUUGGACCAAAUUUAUUAAGUGAUCAAUUGGGCAUUUUACACCUUACGGGUUGUAAUUAAUUUUAUGUGGUAGUUUAAAGUAUGUGGAUCGGAAAUAAACACUAAUUAGAAUUCUAGUCGUAAUGGGACUACUCAAAUUAUUUCCUAUAUGUAAAGGUUAGGUCCCCUCUCCUCUCCAUAUGUUUAUUGGUUUGCCUCAUUGAUAGCUGAUUUUUGUGAGAAGUAAGGAGGGGAAGAUUUUGGUUGCUAUUACAACUACUAUUCAUAUCAACAAUGGCUUCCGUAAGUAUGAAUUCAUUUCUAUUAAUUUAUUGAAUUGUGAUUAUCGAUUCUUAACAUGAUUAAAACUAAGGAUUAACAAUUUUAGCCGAGCAAUUUUUUAAAUUUCAUUGUUAGGUUAAUUAGCUGCAUAGUGGUUGUUUGAUUGCUACAAAUGAUCUUGGUAUGUUGCAUGAGACCAAGAAAUUUCUCUCUAAGAACUUUGAAAUGAAAGACAUGAGAGCGGCAAACUAUGGGAUAGGAAUAGAAAUAUUCCGAGACAGAUCACAAGGAAUGUUAGGGUUGUCUCAAAAAUCAUACAAUAAUAAAGUUUUAGAGAGAUUCAAGAUGGAGAACUGCUUUGCAAGAGUUGUUUCAAUUUAGAAAGGAAACAAAUUCAAUCUUAUGCAAAAUCCAAAGAAUGAAUUGGAAGACACACUUAAGGUUUCAGAAAUAGAAUUUGUAACCUAAAGCUUUUCUCUUACUAAACUUACGAAGAAAUUGAGGAAAUUUUCAUUAUUACUUCGGCACGGCUUGAGGUUUGUUUUGUUAAAAACUCGUAAAAUAGAAUACUUACUUCCAGUUUGACAAGGUUUUUGAAAAGUCAAAAGUUACUUUUGGAUAUUUUUUGUAACGAUCCAAUCUUUGUGUCCAAGCAAUUAACUUAUGUACUGCCCACUCUUGGAAAGCCUAAGAUCAUCUUACCGCUUAUGGAUUUCUAUUGCGUCCUUAGGAUUCGAACUCUUAACCUACUUAAGUGUCUCACUAGACAAAGGUCUUGGAUUUCAAUCCUGAAGGACACGAUAGAAAGCUAUGAGGGGAUAAGUGGGCAGAUGACCACUUAAAGCGGACAGUACGCAUGAUAUAACGGUUCUGGCAUAGAGGUCGCAUCGUUGCAAAAAAAAAGGCACAUUUUUUAACAAGCAGCUUCUAUGUUGAAGUUGUUAAACUUUUGUACAGUCUGCUCUAGGAGAGGAAACCCAUAUUUCUCUCACAGAUUUCUAUCACGUCCUCAGGAUUGAAACCCACGACUUUCCAUUAAGAGAGAUUUAAAUUGAAUAUUGGUACCAAUUGAAGAAGUAAGUUUAACGGCUUGAGCAUAGAGGCUAUGUUACACUUUUCUGGAAGCAUUUAUUUGGCUACAAUAUCUUUUUAAAAUAAGUUGACCAAAGAUAGCUUGUUGAGGAAGCUUUUCUAUAAGAAGCAGGGAAAAAGCCUUGUCAAACAGUCUCUUAAUAUGUUAAAAUGGCAUCUACAUGGCAUCGAGUAAAUAACUUAAAAAUUAAGGUUAAACCUCUAGUCUUCAGCAGGAGCAAGAACGGCUUCGUGUGGAUGAUAUUCAAAGGCCACAUUUGAGAGGGGUGAAACUUGGAGGUUGAUCAGACGCUCGUGAUUGAUCGUGAAGUAGUUGCCACCAUGAGUGAGUGUUCUCUCUUUUUGUGUAGAAAAUGGAAAUAUGUGUGGAGCAUUUUGGGUGUUAAAUUUGGGAUGGAAUUUUUAUUUUAUUUUAUUUUUAUUUAUUUAUUUAUUAUUAUUAUUUUUACAAUCUAGCAUUAUAAAAUUAUUAGGUAAAUAUUAUUUUUGAAUUUUAAAUUAAUAUAUUUUUAAAUAUUUUAUAAAAUCAAGAUUAGGACAUGGAUAACAAUAUUUGUUAAAUCAGUAAAAACUUUUUCAAUGAUUUUAUUGAUUUGACUAUGAAAUAAGUAAAUAAUUUAUUUUUAGGCUGAUGUUAAUAACUAACGUCUUUUACAAGUAAGAAAAAUAUAAACAUAGAUAUAAUAAAAAAUUACUUUAAAUAGAUCUAAUUUAACGAUAAGUUUGGGAGGUCAUCACAUUUGUUGUGCAUUGAAUCAAAUAUGCACUUCACAAUUCAAGCUAUCUUUAUUUACAUAUUUUACUGAUGCCAAUUUGAUUAUGGACAAUGUGAAUGUUAAUCUAUACGAUUGUUUCAGAUUCUGGAAAGACACUGAACCAGCCCUGGGAAUCAGUUACAAUUGUUGAUGACAAUACAAGAAAGAAACUUAAUGAAAUAGAACCUCACGGAAGUGAUCUUGCCAGCCAUGAUGGAGUAUGAUUCGAUCCCUCGUAGCAUAUGAAAAUUGAAAGUACCACAUUACUUCACUUCUUUUACAAAUACAUAUGUGUUCUGUUCCAUUUCAUUCUAUAUAAUUCUAGCCAACUGCUCAAAUUUAAGUGCUAUGCAUAUUCUUCUGGAUGAUGAUUGAUGUGUUCCUGAACAACAUUAAUAUGUGAUGUACAUAUUUGAUUGAUGGUCAAAGUUUUUGUUCAUUUUUUUCUCUCUUGGUAGAGGGCUUCUGAUGAAUGGAAUUUGUUGGUUGUUGCUCUUAUGCUUGACCCCCUGCUUAACACUAUUCCUAUUAGUUGUCUAUGAAAGGUCUGGUAACAAAAUUGAGGAAAUUGCACCAAAAUAAUGAUGAUGAUGAUCAAAACAUGUCAAUCUAUAAAUCCACCAGGUACACUAUCUUUCCAAGCUUAUCUUAACAGUUUUAACCAUUAAUGGUACGCAAUAACAGUUAUGGCUUUGCUUCAUAAAUUCUACUAUCGAAGUUUUCAUACUGUCAUAAAUUUCAAAAUGCAGAUUUUUUGAGCUUUCUUGAGAAAACUUGUUAGUUUCAAGACAUGCCAAGUGAUGUCGUACCUUAUUAUCUAUUUUUAAGCUUUUGUGGUUCAUUAUCGCAGAGUUCUGGAAAAGAUAAGAGUUAAAAGAUCAGUUGAGGAUGAUUUAGUGAAACAGCUAAUAGAGUUAUCUAUGAAGACGCAUUAUACACAUUGGAUGCCAAAAGACAAGAAACUAAAAGAUUGCAGAUGGGAUUAUGUAUGUUACUUUAUUACCCAUAUAUGGUCUGUAGAAAUCAAAUCUUAAUCCCUCUUACCUUAUGUAUCAAAUAACCAAUCUGCAGGAGGAUUACCUCUGCCCGAAUCACAAUGCUGAUAAAUUACUGAGGCAGCAAUCCUAAUCUAGAAUGUUUGGGAGUGAAGUGAAGGAUUCCAUGCCGGCUCAAAUGUAUGGAGAUCUUUUUAUUGUUAUCCUUUUAUGAGUUGACCUCUUAUCCAGCAGUUAGUAAUCUAAUUAUUCUCCUGAACAUAUGGUUUAUUUUGGUAAAAUCUUACUAGACUCA
rnacentral:lncRNA from 1 species